GAAGACAUGGAAAAUAAAAUAGGGGUUAUUGUGCCCUAUAUGCAACCAGGGGUUAUUGUGCCCUGUGAAGACAUGAAAAAUAAAAAUAGGGGUUAUUGUGCCCUAUAUGCAACCAGGGGUUAUUGUGCCCUGUGAAGA